UCCUGGCUCAGGACGAACGCUGGCGGCGUGCUUAACACAUGCAAGUCGAACGAUGAAGCCUUUCGGGGUGGAUUAGUGGCGAACGGGUGAGUAACACGUGGGCAAUCUGCCCUUCACUCUGGGACAAGCCCUGGAAACGGGGUCUAAUACCGGAUAACACUCUGUCCCGCAUGGGACGGGGUUAAAAGCUCCGGCGGUGAAGGAUGAGCCCGCGGCCUAUCAGCUUGUUGGUGGGGUAAUGGCCUACCAAGGCGACGACGGGUAGCCGGCCUGAGAGGGCGACCGGCCACACUGGGACUGAGACACGGCCCAGACUCUUACGGGAGGCAGCAGUGGGGAAUAUUGCACAAUGGGCGAAAGCCUGAUGCAGCGACGCCGCGUGAGGGAUGACGGCCUUC
rnacentral:rRNA from 1 species